UCUGCCCAGUGAGUUUCUUUAACGGCCGCAGUACUUUGACUGUGCUAAGGUAGCAAAAUAAAUAGGCCUUUAAUUGGGGUCGAGAAUGAAAGGCUUCAUGGUUUGACGCUGUCUCCUACUAUUAACCCUUAAUUUACUUAGUAGGUGAAAAUUCCUACAUAUAUGUAUAAGACGAGAAGACCCUAAGAAUUUUUAAAUUAAUGUUACCGUAAAUGAGAAAUUUUUUGUUGGGGCGACAGUAUGGCAUUAAACCCAUAUUAAUAUUACACAGCAUGGCCGAACUAGAAUAGUAAUGGAGAGUAUAAUUACCUUAGGGAUAACAGCAUAAUUUUUCAUAAGAUUGUGACCUCGAUGUUGGACUAGGGACCUCUUAUAUUAACCGUAUAAAAGGUAA
rnacentral:rRNA from 1 species